rnacentral:rRNA from 1 species
GACGAACGCUGGCGGCGUGCUUAACACAUGCAAGUCGAACGGAAAGGCCCCUUUGGGGGUACUCGAGUGGCGAACGGGUGAGUAACACGUGAGUAACCUGCCCUUGACUUCGGGAUAACUUCAGGAAACUGGGGCUAAUACCGGAUAGGAAUCCUUGCUGCAUGGUGGGGGUUGGAAAGCUUCGGCGGUUUUGGAUGGACUCGCGGCUUAUCAGCUUGUUGGUGGGGUAGUGGCUUACCAAGGCUUUGACGGGUAGCCGGCCUGAGAGGGCGACCGGCCACAUUGGGACUGAGAUACGGCCCAGACUCCUACGGGAGGCAGCAGUGGGGAAUAUUGCACAAGGGGCGGAAGCCGGAUGCAGCAACGCCGCGUGCGGGAGGACGGCCUUCGGGUUGUAAACCGCUUUCAGCAGGGGCGAAGCUUGUGGUGACGGUACCUGCAGAAGAAGCACCGGCUAACUACGUG